AGUGCUGUCAUUCUGACCUUUCCAUGAAAGACAUUCUGUGACCAGACUGAGGACCGUGUCCAAAUUAAAGACAAAGGUCGCUAGAAGUGCACAAGGGUAGCUAGGCUACAGGUUACACUCAACAAAGUUGCUGUGAACCUUAAGAAAGCCAGGUGAAUUAUCCUGGCUGUGCGGAAAGACACGCCCUGGAAACUACGUCAUCAGGAAUGUGCACAACUUUCAGCAUCCCCACCCCUGGGCUGUCCAUCUCUCCUACCAUCUAGCCUGGUUCUUUUGGGUCCUCAAUGUGCCACUCUCACCAGUCCUAUCUGGUUAGAAAAGGCCUCCACAGAAAGUGGAGAAUAAUAGCUAGGCCAUCCACUCACUGGUGGUGAACAGAGUGGAUGUGAGACUCGGGACGUUCAGGUGAGUUAGCCGAACCUGGCUGUGUGGAAACUACAUCAACAGGGACAUGCUUCAGUCAAGUUUCAGCAGUCUGUCCAUCUUGUUCGUUUUGCCCCUUGGUGUGCCUCUCAGCAGUCCUAUCUCUCUAAGGCACAGGCAUGCGUGAAGUUACACAGAACCCAACAAGUAUUUCUAAGAAAGUGUAUGAAGUCACUGAGUGAGUGAGAGAAAAAAAAAAAAAACAGAGGAUGAGGGAGACCUCAGACCUGAGAUGUUUUCUCUGCCAUUUUUUUUCUCUCUCUGUGGUUUGUGCUGGCUAUACGUGAGCGUGACAUAGUAUACAGCCAAUCCCCUUUAACACAACAAGCCAACAACAGCUCCAGCAAACACACAAGGACACAAAAACGAGCCUGUAUAUGGCCUUCUAAACAACGAAGGGUCAAAUACAAGCCUGCCUAACCACACAAAGGACUGACAACUUUUUCCAAAGAGUUUUCAGUAGCCCUCAGAACCCUUCAAACACUUAGGAGAAAUUACUAAUAACUAAGGGAUGUUAGUUAGCCUCUCUUGUUCCUCCUCAGACUCUUUCAUAAGAGGAAAAAUAACAUCUCUCUAAACCACCACAAAGCCACCCGAUAGUAGGCUACCUCCUCAAUGCAGACAUCCGAUUUACAGAAAUGAAAGUAAGUUGUGACCUAUCAUGUGAGUUGAACACAGUGGCGCAGACUUCCUGCAGUAUCCUCCCCCUGUGCUACUGGCAGCAGAAACCAGCUUGGGCAGAAACAGUCAUGUCAGUGGCAGUACUUCUAGUGGCAGGACUUAUUGUAGGUGCGGUCCAGCAAAGUGAAAGUGAAAGUAACGUAUUUCCCCUAAAUGAAGUCAAAGACUGCUUUGCAAAUAAAUUUGCUGCAACUGCAAAUACAUUCUGUUUCAAUGAAGAUUGUGAGAGCAAAAAGCUGAAGAAUGCCAUUGUUCCAUGUCUGCUACUCGGCUAUGAUCUUAUUUACCAAGACUCUUCUUACCAGUUAAAGGGAGAUUCCAAUGUCAGACGUAUGGCUCAUUGUGCUGUCGAAAAAUGUGCAGAGGGACUGAUGACGAGCCAUGGAACCAUGGGAUUCCUCUCAGGUUGGGGGGAUUCUGUCUACUCUUGUCUUGUUGCCAUGAGCAACUGUGUGAAAACUGAACCCAAAUUCAAGCUCAAAACUGAAUUUUGAUUUAUUAAGCCAUUACAUCACAGUGUUUGUAUUCUGUCAUUGUACUAAAUUUGUAUGCCACUGCAUGACUUUUCUAUAGGGUUUCAUUGGUCUGUAGGUGUUAAUGACAUUUUGGAGUUUUUCUGUGUUUUUCCCUGUAUAAAAUGAUUAGUUGAUACUGACAUGAUCAGAACAUAUUCCCUGAGGUAUUCUGAUGCUGAAAAAUAUCAAAUGAAAUUGUGUCAGAGUCAGCCAAUAGAAUUCACCAUUAAUGUAUGAAAACCAUAACAAAAUGCAUUUCAGUGAAGUGAGACACUGUGUGAUUCAGUUUGAGUGAGACUGUAUGAAAUAUGAGUGGACACUAGAUGGCGCUCUAUUUCUCCAAAUGAACAGAGUGAUUCUGAAUGGUCCUGGAAAUUGGUUGCAAGAAAUUAAAGAAGUUUCUAUUAAGGGUAAA